rnacentral:rRNA from 1 species
AUUGAACGCUGGCGGCAGGCCUAACACAUGCAAGUCGAACGAGUGGCGGACGGGUGAGUAAUGUCUGGGAAACUGCCUGCUGGAGGGGGCUAACUACUGGAAACGGUAGCUAAUCCCGCAUACCAUCGGAUGUGCCCCGCUGGGAUUAGCUAGUAGGUGGGGUAAGGGCUCCCCUAGGCGACGAUCCCUAGCUGGUCUGAGAGGAUGACCAGCAACACUGGAACUGAGACACGGUCCAGACUCCUACGGGAGGCAGCAGUGGGGAAUAUUGCACAAUGGGCGCAAGCCUGAUGCAGCCCUGCCGCGUGUAUGAAGAAGGCCUUCGGGUUGUAAAGUACGUUCAGCGGGGAGGCGUUACCCGCAGAAGAAGCACCGGCUAACUCCGUGCCAGCAGCCGCGGUAAUUC